rnacentral:rRNA from 1 species
GGCGAGCGGCGGACGGGUGAGUAACGCGUAGGAAUCUACCUAGUAGAGGGGGACAACAUGUGGAAACGCAUGCUAAUACCGCAUACGCCUUUAGGGGGAAAGCAGGGGAUCUUAGGACCUUGCGUUAUUAGAGCGGCCGAUAUCUGAUUAGGUAGUUGGUAGGGUAAAGGCCUACCAAGCCGACGAUCAGUAGCUGGUCUGAGAGGACGAUCAGCCACACUGGAACUGAGACACGGUCCAGACUCC